rnacentral:tRNA from 1 species
GGGCGGUUAGCUCAGCGGUAGAGCACUACCUUGACAUGGUAGGGGUCACAGGUUCGAACCCUGUACCGCCCACCC